rnacentral:rRNA from 1 species
CUGCUCAGUAACACGUGGACAACCUACCCUUAGGUCGGGGAUAAACCCGGGAAACUGGGUAUAAUACCCGAUAGAUCUCGGCUGCUGGAAUGCACCGAGCUCUAAAGCUCCGGCGCCUAAGGAUGGAUCUGCGGCCUAUCAGGUAGUAGUGGGUGUAGUGUACCUACUAGCCGACGACGGGUACGGGUUGUGAGAGCAAGAGCCCGGAGAUGGAUUCUAAGACAUGAAUCCAGGCCCUACGGGGCGCAGCAGGCGCGAAAACUUUACAAUGCGGGAAACCGCGAUAAGGGGACACUGAGUGCCAGCAUCUUAUGUUGGCUGUCCGCAUGUUUAAAACGCAUGUGUUAGCAAGGGCUGGGCAAGACCGGUGCCAGCCGCCGCGGUAACACCGGCAGCCCGAGUGGUGAUCACUAUUAUUGGGCCUAAAGCGUCCGUAGCCGGCUCGGUAAAUCUCUGGGUAAAUCGAUAGGCUUAACUUAUCGAAUUCUGGGGAGACUGCCGGGCUUGGGACCGGGAGAGGUCGGAGGUACUACAGGGGUAGGAGUGAAAUCUUGUAAUCCCUGUGGGACCACCAGUGGCGAAGGCGUCUUACCAGAACGGGUCCGACGGUGAGGGACGAAAGCUGGGGGCACGAACCGGAUUAGAUACCCGGGUAGUCCCAGCCGUAAACGAUGCUCGCUAGGUGUCAGGAAUGGUGCGACCGUUUCUGGUGCCGUAGGGAAGCCGUGAAGCGAGCCACCUGGGAAGUACGGCCGCAAGGCUGAAACUUAAAGGAAUUGGCGGG